rnacentral:rRNA from 1 species
ACUCAAAGGAAUUGACGGGGGCCCGCACAAGCGGAGGAACAUGUGGUUUAAUUCGAUGAUACGCGAGGAACCUUACCCGGGCUUGAAAUGCAGAGGAAUGGAGAGGAAACUUUCCCGCCAGCAAUGGUCUCUGUGUAGGUGCUGCAUGGUUGUCGUCAGCUCGUGCCGUGAGGUGUCGGCUUAAGUGCCAUAACGAGCGCAACCCUUAUCGUUAGUUACUAACAGGUAAAGCUGAGGACUCUAACGAGACUGCCACCGUAAGGUGCGAGGAAGGUGGGGAUGACGUCAAAUCAGCACGGCCCUUACGUCCGGGGCGACACACGUGUUACAAUGGGAGGUACAGAAGGCAGCUACCUGGCGACAGGAUGCGAAUCUUAUAAAACCUCUCCCAGUUCGGAUCGGAGUCUGCAACCCGACUCCGUGAAGCUGGAUUCGCUAGUAAUCGCGCAUCAGCCAUGGCGCGGUGAAUACGUUCCCGGGCCUUGUACACACCGCCCGU